rnacentral:rRNA from 1 species
CCAAACCCCAACAGAAGAGCUUGUGAAGGAGUAAGAACUAACAAGGAUUCCCCUAGUAACUGCGAGUGAAGCGGGAAAAGCUCAAAUUUUGAAUCUGGCGGUCUUUUGGUCGUCCGAGUUGUAAUCUAGAGAAGCGUCUUCCGCGCUGGACCGUGUACAAGUCUCCUGGAAGGGAGCGUCAUAGAGGGUGAGAAUCCCGUCUUUGACACGGACUGCCAGUGCUAUGUGAUGCGCUCUCGACGAGUCGAGUUGUUUGGGAAUGCAGCUCUAAUUGGGUGGUAAAUUCCAUCUAAAGCUAAAUACAGGCGAGAGACCGAUAGCGAACAAGUACCGUGAGGGAAAGAUGAAAAGAACUUUGGAAAGAGAGUUAAACAGUACGUGAAAUUGCUGAAAGGGAAACGCUUGAUGUCAGUCGCGUCGGCCAGGGAUCAACCUUGCUUCUCGCUGGGUGUACUUCCUGGUCGAUGGGUCAGCAUCAGUUUCGAUCGUCGUACAAGGACGGAGGGAAUGUGGCACUCUUCGGAGUGUGUUAUAGCCUUUCGUCGCAUGCGGCGGUGGGGACUGAGGAACUCAGCACGGCCUUGCUUGUGCUUAGGAUGCUGGCAUAAUGGCCUUAAGCGACCCGUCUUGAAACACGGACCAAGGAGUCUAACAUGCCUGCGAGUGUUUGGGUGGCAAACUCGAGCGCGAAAUGAAAGUGAAAGUUGAGACCUCUGUCAUGGAGGGCAUCGACGCCCGGACCUGAGUCUUUGACGAAGGAUCUGAGGUAGAGCAUGCAUGUUGGGACCCGAAAGAUGGUGAACUAUGCCUGAAUAGGGUGAAGCCAGAGGAAACUCUGGUGGAGGCUCGUAGCGAUUCUGACGUGCAAAUCGAUCGUCGAAUUUGUGUAUAGGGGCGAAAGACUAAUCGAACCAUCUAGUAGCUGGUCUGCAUUCCCCCUCCCCGCUCGCAAAAAAAACCGCCCCCCCCCCCUCCCUAAUGGGGGCCCCUAUAGUCUUCCCCCCCUUUCCCA